rnacentral:tRNA from 1 species
GCACCCGUAGCUCAGCUGGAUAGAGCGCCCUCCGAAGGUGGGGGCCACACGUUCGAAUCGUGUCGGGUGCGCCA